rnacentral:rRNA from 1 species
UACGAGGGGGGGCGAGCGUUGUUCGGAAUUAUUGGGCGUAAAGGGUGCGUAGGCGGUUCCGCAAGUCCUGUGUGAAAUCUUCGGGCUCAACUCGAAGUCUGCACGGGAAACUGCGGGGGCUUGAGUGUGGGAGAGGUGAGUGGAAUUCCCGGUGUAGCGGUGAAAUGCGUAGAUAUCGGGGAGGAACACCUGUGGCGAAAGCGGCUCACUGGACCAUAACUGACGCUGAUGCACGAAAAGCUGGGGGGAGCAAAACAGG